UAGCACUGAUUCAGAGGCUUUGCCACGAGAGGCCUUGGAGAUGGAGUCUGGCGCCCCUUCACCAAAUGCGUGCUCAAGCACUGGCCCUGAGGCCAGCCGGAUUUGUGUGAACCCUUUCAAGAGGUUCCUGAAGUGCAAGAAUCCCUUCACGCCUGCGGAGGAGUCCAUGCCUCAAGGAGAGAGGGCUGUGUUUCACAGAGCCCGAGGGCUCUUCAGAAGAGAUCUCACAUUUAAAAACUCAGUUGGUGCAGGCGGGAUAGAGGGAAGCUAACCAGGCAGAUUUCAGCCAUCCGUUUCCAGUGCUACAUAGCAUAAGUCCAAUGCUACUUCUACCUGACCGUCUAUCAAAUAUUUGAAGACAGCUAUCACAUGUCAAUAGGCUUUUCCUCUCAAGCUAAUCAUCCCACAUUUC